UACGUAGGGGGCAAGCGUUGUCCGGAAUUAUUGGGCGUUAAAGAGCGCGUAGGCGGUCCGAUAAGUCGGCUGUGAAAGUCUAGGGCUCAACCCUGGAAAGCCGGCCGAUACUGUCGGACUAGAGUCCGGAAGAGGCGAGUGGAAUUCCCGGUGUAGCGGUGAAAUGCGCAGAGUAUCGGGAGGAACACCAAUGGCGAAGGCAGCUCUCUGGGACGGUACUGACGCUGAGGCGCGAAAAGCGUGGGGAGCAAACAGGG
rnacentral:rRNA from 1 species